AACACGUCCGAUUAAAAAAAAAAAAAAAUGAACCCUACACCUGACCAAUCAGGAAUAACUACUUAGUCCAACAACAACAGCCUCUCCAGGCAGGCUGCCCAGAACAUUUUCGAACCCUCUAACGGGUCUGUUUGAUUCAGUAAUGGCCGAAUUUGUUUUCUAAGCAUGGAUUCCUCUAUGCGGGUUUUCUCGGCAAACUGAGCCCAGGCUCCUGCGGCCGCCACAGCGCGAAGGGUUUCGAUUGGCAGAAGGUGGAAGAAACGCUUAUAAUGUUUUGUAGAGAAAAACAGGGCAAAAGGGAAUCGGAUCAAAAGAACCCUGACGCUGCUUCCAAGUGAGUUAGGGCGGCACUGACGCGGUCCUUCCAAGGAAAGCAGACUCCGAGGGAAGCCACCCGCUCGCUGGGGGUCUGACCCUGCCAGGAU